CGAAGAAAAACCUCAAGGGUUAAAAUCGUAACUCCAGUUGCUAACGAAAUGGCCAGGGUAGUUGCCGCGUAAAUGCUCAGAAUAUAAACCAACACGUACCGUAGCAGUCUUCCUUAAAUUUGUCGUCAACGACCCCCCAACCCAAGCCUCUCUAACUUUCUCUCACUUUCUCGCCCAUUUUCCUGCGCCAUUUUUUUUCCUUUUCGAACACUGUUUCCAUCUUCCCGGGACUAGGAAUUCCGUCUCCGACAAUGAAGAAACCAGGACUCUUUGCUGCCUCGGUGGCCGCAGCCUCUGCUACAGCCUUCUCUUCUUCGUCUUCUUCUUCUUCCUCGAACUCCACCAAUAGUACUCAACAGGAGGCUGAAUUGAAACAAACUAGAGAAAAUCAGAGGUCAUCUUCGACCGAAAAGUUUGCUCCAAAGUUUGACGGCCUGAGAUUCAUUGAAACCCUGAUCACUGCCCACAGAUAAGGUCGAUCAUCAAGUUUUCAGGGCUCCAUGGUGAUUGCUUCUGCAUCUCUUAGUCUUAUGCUGUUAACCAAAGAAAGUGAAGGCAAAAUUCAACCCCUUUUUUGUAGGCUUUCCCAUUGGAAAAUUAUGAACUGUAAUAUUUCAGGUCUUGUUCCAGAUUUUGGGGGAUCUAUGCAUGCAUGUAGCCCUUUUCUUUCUUUC